UACAGAGGUCUCAAGCGUUGUUCGGAUUCAUUGGGCGUAAAGGGUGCGUAGGCGGCGCGGUAAGUCGGGUGUGAAAUCUCGGAGCUUAACUCCGAAACUGCAUUCGAUACUGCGGUGCUUGAGGACUGGAGAGGAGACUGGAAUUCAUGGUGUAGCAGUGAAAUGCGUAGAGAUCAUGAGGAAGACCAGUGGCGAAGGCGGGUCUCUGGACAGUUCCUGACACUGAGACGCGAAAGCGUGGGGAGCGAACCGG
rnacentral:rRNA from 1 species